UCUAAGAAACGCAGUGGUCUCUGGAGUCUGCACGAGCAGGCCACCCUGCACUGAACGCCUGUUCUUGCCAGGUGGCAGAAGGUUGCUGC
ensembl:miRNA